rnacentral:lncRNA from 1 species
GAAAACAAACUAAAGCAUUUUCCUAAGGCAGAGAAACGAAGACGCUAUGCAGAGAAACAGCUACGAAGACGCUAUGCAGAGAAACAGCUCUUCCUCUUUGAUUUUUCAGUCACCAGUGUUGAAGCUUUUCCUCUUCCUUUUCUCAUUGUUGCAGUUUUUCUCAUUUUAACUUCUUGCAGAUGCAAGUUCUUGAAUUUUGCAAAGAAUACAAGAUGUCGGCAAUG